AGGGCACCACCAGGAGUGGAGCCUGCGGCUUAAUUUGACUCAACACGGGAAAUCUCACCAGGCCCGGACACCGGAAGGAUUGACAGAUUGAGAGCUCUUUCUUGAUUCGGUGGGUGGUGGUGCAUGGCCGUUCUUAGUUGGUGGAGCGAUUUGUCUGGUUAAUUCCGAUAACGAACGAGACUCUGGCCUACUAACUAGAUGGAGGAUCCCUUCGUGGGUUCUUCACUGCUCCUUAGAGGGACGGGCGGCGUUUAGCCGCACGAGAUUGAGCAAUAACAGGUCUGUGAUGCCCUUAGAUGUUCUGGGCUGCACGCGCGCUACACUGAAGGAAUCAGCGUGUCCUCCCCGCUCUGAAAAGAGUGGGUAACCCGUUGAAACUCCUUCGUGAUGGGGAUUGGAGAUUGUAAUUAUUCUCCAUGAACGAGGAAUUCCCAGUAGGCGCGAGUCAUCAGCUUGCGUCGAUUACGUCCCUGCCCUUUGUACACACCGCCCGUCGCUACUACCGAUCGAGUGAUUUAG
rnacentral:rRNA from 1 species